AGGUUACUGCUAUCGGUGUUCGCCUAAGCCAUGCGAGUCAUAUGUUCUUCGUGAACAUGGCGUACUGCUCAGUAACACGUGGAUAACCUGCCCUUGGGUCCGGCAUAACCCCGGGAAACUGGGGAUAAUUCCGGAUAACGCACAUAUGCUGGAAUGCUUUAUGCGUCAAAUGGAUUCGUCCGCCCAAGGAUGGGUCUGCGGCCUAUCAGGUAGUAGUGGGUGUAAUGUACCUACUAGCCUACGGCGGGUACGGGUUGUGAGAGCAAGAGCCCGGAGAUGGAUUCUGAGACAUGAAUCCAGGCCCUACGGGGCGCAGCAGGCGCGAAAACUUUACAAUGCGGGAAACCGUGAUAAGGGGACACCGAGUGCCAGCAUCAUAUGCUGGCUGUCCGGGUGUGUAAAAUACACCUGUUAGCAAGGGCCGGGCAAGACCGGUGCCAGCCGCCGCGGUAACACCGGCGGCCCGAGUGGUGAUCGUGAUUAUUGGGUCUAAAGGGUCCGUAGCCGGUUUGGUCAGUCCUCCGGGAAAUCUGACGGCUUAACCGUUAGGCUUUCGGGGGAUACUGCCAGACUUGGAACCGGGAGAGGUAAGAGGUACUACAGGGGUAGGAGUGAAAUCUUGUAAUCCCUGUGGGACCACCUGUGGCGAAGGCGUCUUACCAGAACGGGUUCGACGGUGAGGGACGAAAGCUGGGGGCACGAACCGGAUUAGAUACCCGGGUAGUCCCAGCCGUAAACGAUGCUCGCUAGGUGUCAGGCAUGGCGCGACCGUGUCUGGUGCCGCAGGGAAGCCGUGAAGCGAGCCACCUGGGAAGUACGGCCGCAAGGCUGAAACUUAA
rnacentral:rRNA from 1 species